GAACGAACGCUGGCGGCAUGCCUAACACAUGCAAGUCGAACGAGACCUUCGGGUCUAGUGGCGCACGGGUGCGUAACGCGUGGGAAUCUGCCCCUCGGUUCGGAACAACAGUUAGAAAUGACUGCUAAUACCGGAUAAUGACGAAAGUCCAAAGAUUUAUCGCCGAAGGGAUGAGCCCGCGUAGGAUUAGCUUGUUGGUGGGGUAAUGGCCCACCAAGGCGACGAUCCUUAGCUGGUCUGAGAGGAUGAUCAGCCACACUGGGACUGAGACACGGCCCAGACUCCUACGGGAGGCAGCAGUGGGGAAUAUUGGACAAUGGGCGAAAGCCUGAUCCAGCAAUGCCGCGUGAGUGAUGAAGGCCUUAGGGUUGUAAAGCUCUUUUACCAGGGAUGAUAAUGACAGUACCUGGAGAAUAAGCUCCGGCUAACUCCGUG
rnacentral:rRNA from 1 species